rnacentral:sRNA from 1 species
GGCCUUCUCUCUGCCACUCCCCACGAGUGGGUCACUCCACGGGGAGCCCCAACGCUGGCAGGAGAGGAUCCUACAGGACAGCAAGGAGAUGCCACCUAAAAACAAAGAAAAAGGGAAGAAAUCUGGGGCACAGAAGAAGAAAAAGAACUGGGGUGAGUCAUGGUGGGUGGAGGUGCCCCCUGCUUCUCCAUGUUCUGCCAUGAAGACCACGCAGAGCUCCUCCAGAGAGAAUUCAGCCUUCUGCAGGACAGGAUGGAGCUCUCUUGACAUACCUCUUUCAUGUCCUCACAGCCAGAUCCAGGGAGCUGAGGAAGUGGGGAAAUGGUCACCCACGCUCUCCUUUAAGCCCCAUCUAGCUCUGUGCCUUCCUAAUAUAUUUGUCAUGUGUAUUUUGC